CAUCCGGUCGAUCCUGCCGGAGCGGACUGCUCUCCCCAAGGAGAAAGCCAUGCAUGCCCGCUCACCCGGAACGCGGCGGAGGGCUCAGGACAACGGUUNCACCCCCCUCGGCGGUCCUUGCUAUCCGNACACCGCUGGCAUCCCGGCACCAAAACGUGCGAGCAAGGGCGGGCGCCCGCGGGCGAGCAGGGUGAGGCAACCCGGG
rnacentral:rRNA from 1 species